AUUGAACGCUGGCGGCAGGCCUAACACAUGCGAGUCGAGCGGAUGAAGGGAGCUUGCUCCUGGAUUCAGCGGCGGACGGGUGAGUAAUGCCUAGGAAUCUGCCUGGUAGUGGGGGAUAACGUCCGGAAACGGGCGCUAAUACCGCAUACGUCCUGAGGGAGAAAGUGGGGGAUCUUCGGACCUCACGCUAUCAGAUGAGCCUAGGUCGGAUUAGCUAGUUGGUGGGGUAAAGGCCUACCAAGGCGACGAUCCGUGACUGGUCUGAGAGGAUGAUCAGUCACACUGGAACUGAGACACGGUCCAGACUCCUACGGGAGGCAGCAGUGGGGAAUAUUGGACAAUGGGCGAAAGCCUGAUCCAGCCAUGCCGCGUGUGUGAAGAAGGUCUUCGGAUUGUAAAGCACUUUAAGUUGGGAGGAAGGGCAGUAAGUUAAUACCUUGCUGUUUUGACGUUACCAACAGAAUAAGCACCGGCUAACUUCGUG
rnacentral:rRNA from 1 species